AGUAAAUUUGUCUUUUGACAUGUUUAAGGCUGAUAACAAACUUCAAUUGAAGUUCAAUUUGUUUGGUUCAAAGGGAAAAGUAUGAAUUUACCUAUGGAAAGAUUAAAUAUUACAAGCUAUAAUUGAAUCGAUUAAGCGCUGUUAUACAAAAGCAACAGACAAAGAAACUCAGAUAUAAUUAGCCUCCUGCUUGAAUUAUGCACCUUAUUGUUUAAAUGGAGGUAAACGAAAAUCUUACAACCACGAAAAGAAAACGAAGAAUUUAAUAAAAGAGGGAUCAAGAUGAUGUUGAGAAUGAAGAAUAAUGUGACGUUGAGUGAAACGAGAGUGAAGAAAAAAAAAGACUCAACGUACAGCAUCCAAGACUUGCAAGUAUUUUCGAUACACUUUGUGAAGCCGUCUCAUUGAAAAAACUCAGAAACACCCAGGGUGUUCUACAAAACUUAAAAUUGAAGAUGAGCUCAAGUUAGUUAAGUAUGCAUUGAAAUUAACUUAUUUGGGUAUUGCCUUUCGUGUUGCAUAUAUGAUAUGCUUGCGCUGGGAAGGCGUCAGUUUAUGAAAUAUGCUGAGGAUACACCAAUAAAACGUGAAAAUUCCUUUAAGAAUGGUCUGCUAUCAAAAAAUGAUGCUCUUCACUAAAAAAAGGGCUUUCAACUCUUGGAAAAAAUUGAGACCUUUAUUAUAUCGAAAACAACAAGGUUUUUAUUUAUUUUGAUGCGCUAAACCAAGUUAUGGAUGAAGCGGAUUUUAGUUGCUAACCGCACUGUGUGUGGAUUAUGGAUGAAACUGGAUUAAAAUGGCAGCACACAUCAGACAAGGUUGUUUUUCUUAAAUCAAGUUCACAAUAUGUACUAAGUUGGACAAUUGGAAAUCGUGAAACAAUAUUGCCCCAAAUAUGAACUUAAGAACAUUUAUAAUUAACGGAGGCUAAAUAUAGCCAAGAAAAAAUAGAUUUUGUGUUUUCUCUUUUUAUUACAAUUUUAUACAAUUUAUUUUACAGUUUUUAACAAUAAAUU